AGUGAACGCUGGCGGUAGGCCUAACACAUGCAAGUCGAACGGCAGCACAGUAAGAGCUUGCUCUUACGGGUGGCGAGUGGCGGACGGGUGAGGAAUACAUCGGAAUCUACUUUUUCGUGGGGGAUAACGUAGGGAAACUUACGCUAAUACCGCAUACGACCUACGGGUGAAAGCAGGGGAUCUUCGGACCUUGCGCGAUUGAAUGAGCCGAUGUCGGAUUAGCUAGUUGGCGGGGUAAAGGCCCACCAAGGCGACGAUCCGUAGCUGGUCUGAGAGGAUGAUCAGCCACACUGGAACUGAGACACGGUCCAGACUCCUACGGGAGGCAGCAGUGGGGAAUAUUGGACAAUGGGCGCAAGCAUGAUCCAGCCAUACCGCGUGGGUGAAGAAGGCCUACGGGUUGUAAAGCCCUUUUGUUGGGAAAGAAAAGCAGCAGGUUAAUACCCCGCUGUUCUGACGGUACCCAAAGAAUAAGCACCGGCUAACUUCGUG
rnacentral:rRNA from 1 species